rnacentral:lncRNA from 1 species
CCUGUGUGGAACUUGGGAUUCGAACGGCAGGCGGGAAGUGCUCUAGCAGGGGAGUCUGACCUUGUGAGGGAAUACCUGUGUCCCCCCUUUUUUCCCCUUUUUACCCAAUAAAACCCUGCCUUACUCACCCUUUAAAUCAUCUGCGAGCCUGAAUUUUCAUGGCCGUGGGACGGACAAGAACUUUAUCUUCAGCUGAACUAAGAAAAAGUCCUGCAACAUUUUUGGCGCGCAAUGUGGGGGCACCAGAAGCGAAAGAACACCCCCUCUUAAACAUGGAGAUCGUUAUAUAGAAUGUCCAAGGCAAAUUAAGGAAAAUAAUUAUUGUAGCUGAUGAAGCAGAAACCCUAUUAGAGCUAAAUGCUACUUCACAGUACUCACAAAGGUAGGAAUCGUAAGAGUGUACAGAAAUAAGUCACAUGCAGACCAUAUUGAAAUACGCAGAGAAUUCCAUGGAGACUCUGAUGGCUAGGGCACCGUUGAGCUGUUGCAACUGUUCUGCUGGAGCCUUAUGUAUGUGGUUGAAACCACCUGUACUACUGGAAUGAAAGCACCUUUACAGAAGAGGCAAUGCAAGUUGUAUUCAUCACAUGUGUAGAAUGAAUUAAGAUUUAUGCCAGUUGCAAAGAAGAAUAUUGGCUCACUAUUUUUCCUCUGGGCACAUUGCUGCCCACCAGCAGAGGAUCAGGCUGACAUCUUCAGGAGGCAUAUGGAGGUAAUGGUUAACUUUGCUACAGUGAAGACCAAGGUAAAUUGGGUGCACUGAAGAGAAAAACCUGACCACUUCUGCAGCUGUGCAUCUGGAGUCUGAGUUGUACUGCGACAUUAGCUCUUUUGACUAGAUGUGAUGACAGACUGUCUUUGGUCCAUUCUCUUUUAUUGCCUUGGAAGAGAAUAAAUGAGGAGUAGUUCUCACCCAUUGCAGCUGAGGCAUCACACCUGUAAUGGGAUUAACAAGAUGAUAAUAUAUCUUUUGCCAAGACCACAUACUAGCAUCACAAGUUUAUCUUUACAAUGUUGGGUCUAUCUCUGAACCCCUGGAUGUUGAAAAAGAACCCACCUUUGAAAAAGAAUAAUGAGAAUGGGAAGAUCUGAGCUGCUGGAGUGCCCAAUGGCAAUGAUGGGAGAGGAUACAGCUAUUACUAACAAAGAAAAGACUGCUUCUGUAAUACAACAAUAAAUUUAUUGAACUAAAAGUUGAGACUGACAUCUGGGCACAUUGGGCUCCUCAUGCCUCUGAAUAAACAGACAAACAAAUGAGUUACUAUACCAGCAGAGGGGUACAAGCAAUUUUCCAGUCUUGACCCUUUAUCUGUUGACCAAGCUAAGGCAGAAACCAGCUAAAUUCUGGAUUUAAUCUUGAGCAGCAAAAAAGAUCAGCUUUUGAAGUGGAUCUGCUUUUAUUCUUGGCAAAAGUUCAGCGGAGACCAACCAGAGUGGUGACAAAGUUCUUCAACAUCAAGCCAAAUGUAAUACAAGGAAUUACGGAUAGUGCUUAAUCUAAAAUAAAGAAAUUCCACAUCUCCCUAAAAAGUUAUUGGCUUCAAGAAUGAAAACAAAAGAAGCAUAUUUGUCUCAAUCCAAACACAGACACCAGAAAGACAAACCAGGAGUAUACAGCAAAGUAGCUUGCAGGAUAAUACAUUGAAAAAUGUAAUUGUGCAUAAAUCAUGCACAAAGUAGAAACCACAAAUUCUGUAUUUGGCAAGGCUUCGGUUCCUUUGCAUAAUUCUUUCAUUUUCAUCUUGCUGCUUCCAUUCUCUUUUCAUCAAAAAAAGCUACAUAAAACAAAGACAUAAACUGUAUGCAAUUAAAAUGAGAAAAUAGCUGAAAGGAAUGUAUUGAUAAUUAUGUUAAAAUCUAUACCAUAAGUAUUCUUGCAUUGUUAAGCAUCUAAUUUUUCAUGUGUUGACAUCAGCAUCUCAGUUCUCUCUAACAUCUGAAAGCUUUUUUUUUUAAGGCAACUUCUUUUAGAGUGAACAAACUUAUGUACCACCGAGUUGACAAAAGUAUAACUAUAUCCUACAGAAAGAGACCUCAAGUAAACCUCCAGCAGCCAUCUGGACUUCCAUGAAAACAGAACAAUCAGUGAGAUGCAGAGCUUGGAGGAGACAGUUUCCAUAGACUGAAGCACGUGCUGAAGCAAAGUUCACACUUGCAGGAUUAGAAGAGGUUGACCGAAAGAAGGAAGGACAUGGACAGCUAUGUUGUUGUGGAGUCCUGUUUUAUAGUCAUAACCUUGAGUCAAGUGAGUUUGUCUGGACAGACAGAGCUUGUUGCCUUUACUUAUAGGGAAGGCACCGGACACAGACAGCCUCAAGGACAUUUGUUCUAGCCUUUCAGUAUCCUUUCUCUUAAUUAUCUCACCUCAUCCAUGAAGCUGGUAUGUACGAUUUUUCCUUUCUUUCUCAAUCCUUUAAAAAAUUAAAGCUCUAAAUCUCAUUUCCACUUAGAUUUUAAUGUUGCAUUGUAACUUAAGAUAAAACCUUGCUCUGAUGUUAAAAAUACUAAAGUAAGAAGCAAUAUGGCAUAGUGCUUAUGAGCAGGACUACAUAGUUCUUUCUGAAUACAAAUCUCAGAUAAAACACUAUCUCAGUGAUCAACCAGGUUAAGCAACCUUUUUAGUGCCUCAAUUAUUCCAUUUGUAAAAUUGUAAUAAUGAUAGUACUAACCUAUAAGAUUGUGGUGAGGAUUAAGUCAGAUAAUACAAAAGAAGCAUUUAGAGUAUUUCCUGGCAUUAUCUACCAUUUAUUGAAUUUUUAUGGUUAAGAAGAAUAAGGAAAAGCAGAAGAAAAGGAAAAGAGAAAAAAUACAUAAGAAGAAGGAAGAGUGGUAAGCUCUAGUAAAUUACAACAAACGGUAACGUAGAAAACAUUUGUUAGCCCUUAAUAUAGGCCAGGCACUGUGUUCAAUGCUUAAACCUCAUUACUGUUCUUUGAAGUGGAUAACAUUAUUCCUUCCAUUUUAAAGAAAGGAAUACUAAAGACAACUUUGUCAAUAUUAUUCAUGUAAUAAAUGACAGAAUUUGACCAAGACAAUAGAGAAUGAACUCUUAAUCACUAUAUUGUUUUAUUUUUUGAAAAUAGAUUUUAAGUUCUUAUUAAAUGUUAAUGACUCACAUCAAAAUAAAGCCAAUCAAAAUU